GAGGACAGUGGCGGACGGGUGAGUAACGCGUGAGGAACCUGCCUUUCAGAGGGGGACAACAGUUGGAAACGACUGCUAAUACCGCAUGAUACAUUUGGGUGGCAUCAUCUGAAUGUCAAAGAUUUAUCGCUGAAAGAUGGCCUCGCGUCUGAUUAGCUGGUUGGUGAGGUAACGGCCCACCAAGGCGACGAUCAGUAGCCGGACUGAGAGGUUGACCGGCCACAUUGGGACUGAGAUACGGCCCAGACUCC
rnacentral:rRNA from 1 species